GCCAGGCAGAGUGGCAUGUGACUGUAGUCCCAGCUACUCAGAGGCAUAGGCAGGAGGAUCACUUGAGUCCAGGAGUUCUGUGCUGUAGUGCACUAUGCCAAGCAGGUGUUCACACCAAGUUCACUAUCAAUAUGGUGACCUUUCAGGAGCAGGGAGAGGUGAAAGAGCCCAGGUUGGAGACAAAGCAGGCCAAAACUCCUGUGAUGAUCAUUAGUGGGAUUACACCUGUGAAUAACCACUGCACUCCAGCCUGGGUAACGGAGAGACCCCAUAUCCG
ensembl:misc_RNA Metazoa_SRP Metazoan signal recognition particle RNA